UUGUAAAUGUACAGGGUACAUUCACAUGGGCAGGGGCUUACAGUGAGUAUCAGGCUGCAAGUUUGCGAUGCAGCAAAUUUUGCGCGGCAGCUCAAACUCGUAGCGGGAAACUCGUUGUAAUCCCCCGCCUGUGUGACUGUACCCUAAAAACACUACACUAACACAAAAUAAAAUAAAAAGUAAAAAACACUACAUAUACACAUACCCCUACACAGCCCCCCUCCCCAAUAAAAAUGAAAAAUGUCUGCUACGCCACUGUUUUCAAAAUGGAGCCUCCAGCAGUUGCAAAACAACAACUCCCAGUAUUGCCGGACAGCCGUUGACUGUCUAAGCAUGCUGGGGGUUUUGCAACAGCUGGAGGCACCCUGUUUGGGAAUCACUGGCGUAGAAUACCCCUAUGUCCACCCCUAUGCAAAUCCCUAAUUCAGGCCUCAAAUGCACAUGGCGCUCUCAUUUCGGAGCCCUGUCGUAUUUCAAGGCAACAGUUUAGGGUCACAUAUGGGGUAUUGCCGUACUCGGGAGAAAUUGCCUUACAAAUUUUGGGGGGGCUUUUUCUCCUUUCACCCCUUAUGAAAAGGUGAAGUUGGGGUCUACACUAGUAUGUUAGUGUAAAAAAAUAAAUUGUUUGACAGGAAGUGACGGCAGCAUGAGCUAGGGCCGCACACUUUGGGGCUCUGGCCCCGCCCCCUGAGCCCUCGAGACGGAGGUGGACGCCGACCUCACGAUGCCGGGAUACUCACGGCUUUCUGCCGACAGUGGGGCCCUCCUGCCCGGACGCCUUGUGACGAGCUGGGGGCGCUGGAUCCUGCCGUGGGAGGAGGGAGGAUUGAGACGGCGAUGGCGCGACCCGUCGUCGGACAGGCCGAGAGGCGCUGUGGAAGGGGAUGCCGGAGAGGAGGUGAGAGAGGGGGGGGGUGUGGUCUCUGCGGCCAGCUAUUGAGAGGAGCUUCGGGCUUGUUCCGGAGGCCCAUAUAUGGCGGCACCUGCCUCACAGCGGGUCACAGCGACGUGGAGGUGUUGAGGGGCAUGUGUGGAGCUCCGCUACUUCUUGCUAGGAUCUGGUUAGGCUGGACCAGACCCUCUCUUGUGGAUGGAAAGUGGAACUGAGUAAAACGAUUAGAUGCUACAUGUGAUAAAUAUCUAACAGUGCAGAAGCCGGUGAGUUAUCGCCACCCUUUGGGGGGACAGAUUUUCUUAAUCAGCAGUCUCCCUGCAUGGAUGUGUCUCACAUGAGGAUAAAUUGCCAUGAAAUCUACUCACGGAUUCCCCCUAACUAGGUGAAACCAUUGAUUAAACCCCCGGCAAUAUUCUGAACAGCAGCAGGCCCCCGCACCGGCCCCAUGUGGAAUGGACAAUAUUGGAUGCCUGACUCCCUGCCUGGUUACUCCUUCUAGCAAUUUGCUGCAGUGGCCAAUCACCUUUGCAGGAGUUCCGUUAUGACACGCCCCUUCUUCUGGAAGGCCCCACAUUAAGCACAUGCACAAAGAGAAAACAUUACGUCGGCAGCACUGCAGUGCAACCAAACCCCACACUAACAGCGAAGCAUGAAGGAGGAGAAGACACGCCAAUCACAUGACACCACCAAACCAGAUAAUUGGCCAGUAAACAGCCAAUGAGGAACAGGCAAACAUAGAAGGGCACAACCCAAGAAGGAGGAACUAAUGACAAUGCAAUGAAUAUUCAAACAAGGCGGGCGGCAAGGAGGAGACACAGAGGAGGGCAAGUUUGAGGUCAUGAACGCAAGAUGGGCGCCGAACGGAGGAAAAAAAGUGGUCGUGAUCAAGAAAAAGACAGCGAAACUACAAUACUUCCGCUGAGGAUAAAAGGAGUUCCAGACGUCAUAAAGAUCAGGUUACACGUUCGCUUGAACCUACUAUCAAGAGUUCACCGUAUCACAAACUUUCCAGACGGCAAACAGCGCAGUUUCCUUAAAAGAG